UACGUAGGGUGCAAGCGUUAAUCGGAAUUACUGGGCGUAAAGCGUGCGCAGGCGGUUCUAUAAGACAGAUGUGAAAUCCCCGGGCUCAACCUGGGAACUGCAUUUGUGACUGUAGAGCUGGAGUGCGGCAGGAGGGGGAUGGAAUUCCGCGUGUAGCAGUGAAAUGCGUAGAUAUGCGGAGGAACACCGAUGGCGAAGGCAAUCCCCUGGGCCUGCACUGACGCUCAUGCACGAAAGCGUGGGGAGCAAACGGG
rnacentral:rRNA from 1 species